rnacentral:lncRNA from 1 species
CUUAAAGAUAUUUCUACAAUAGGUUCCAGAUUUGAUCUAAUCAAGUUUGACUCUAUGGGUUUACUAGAUUGUGUCGGUUCUUCUACCGAUUGAACUUCAUUAAAUUCAAUCUUUAAGGUAUUAGUUCCUUCACCAAAAUUUUUUUUAAAAAGACUGCCCUAUUACUGACAAACAUCUUCUAUUCGUCAGUAAGAUAGAAGUAAUAUCCCUUGGUCUAUUUUAGGUAUCCUACAAAUAGACAUUUGUUAGAUCUAGGUCCAAGCUUGUCAGUUUUUAAAUGUUUGACAUAAGCCGGAUA